rnacentral:rRNA from 1 species
GAUGAACGCUAGCUACAGGCUUAACACAUGCAAGUCGAGGGACCGGCGCACGGGUGAGUAACACGUAUCCAACCUGCCCUUUACUCGGGGAUAGCCUUUCGAAAGAACGAUUAAUACCCGAUAUAAAGGAUGGGGAUGCGUUCCAUGAGGUUGUUGGUGAGGUAACGGCUCACCAAGCCUUCGAUGGAUUGGGGUUCUGAGAGGAAGGUCCCGCACAUUGGAACUGAGAACCGGCCCAAGAUCCGAGGCGAGGCAGCAGUGAGGAAGAUAGGUAAAUGGAAGCUAGCCUGAACCAGCCAAGUAGCGUGAAGGAUGAAGGCUUAUGGGUCGUAAACUCUUUUUAUAGAAGAAUAUGUAUUAUAUGAAUAAGGAUCGGCUAACUCCGUGCCAGCAGCCGCGGUAAUUC